GCCACGCCCGAAGUCAUUACCUCAACUGCAAGGAGGGGGAUGCCUAAGGCAGGGCUAGUGACUGGGGUGAAGUCGUAACAAGGUAGCCGUACCGGAAGUUGUGGCUGGAUCACCUCCUUAAAGGGAGACCUAAUUCAGGUAGGAGACGAAAAAAAAGUAGUCCCUACCAAGAAUCAAUCCCAAAAGGUCGGAGCGAGGCGAAAUUGGCUUUCAAACUAGGUUCUGGGUUCACACAAGACCUGAAUUAGGAACAAGGGCUAUCAGCUCAGGUGGUUAGAGCGCACCCCUGAUAAGGGUGAGGUCCCUGGUUCGAGUCCAGGAUGGCCCACCUGUACAGGUGGCAAAAACAAAGAAAAGAAGCUCCGAAUCAGCACCUUAUCUUAUUUAUAUAGUAAGAGAGAAUGCUGGCUCUGAGUAAAGAGUCCAGAGGAACCUUGAAAACUGCAUAGAGCUAGGUGAAAAAGCCAAAAAAGAAGACCGCAAGGUCAAGCUAAUAAGGGCUAACGAUGGAUACCUAGGCACACAGAGG
rnacentral:misc_RNA from 1 species